GACGAACGCUGGCGGCGUGCCUAAUACAUGCAAGUAGAACGCACAGUUUAUACCGUAGCUUGCUACACCAUAGACUGUGAGUUGCGAACGGGUGAGUAACGCGUAGGUAACCUGCCUGGUAGCGGGGGAUAACUAUUGGAAACGAUAGCUAAUACCGCAUAAUAUUAAUUAUUGCAUGAUAAUUGAUUGAAAGAUGCAACUGCAUCACUACCAGAUGGACCUGCGUUGUAUUAGCUAGUAGGUGAGGUAACGGCUCACCUAGGCGACGAUACAUAGCCGACCUGAGAGGGUGAUCGGCCACACUGGGACUGAGACACGGCCCAGACUCCUACGGGAGGCAGCAGUAGGGAAUCUUCGGCAAUGGACGAAAGUCUGACCGAGCAACGCCGCGUGAGGGAAGAAGGUUGUCGGAUCGUAAAGCUCUGUUGUAAGAGAAGAACGGGUGUGAGAGUGGAAAGUUCACACUGUGACGGUAUCUUACCAGAAAGGGACGGCUAACUACGUG
rnacentral:rRNA from 1 species